GAUGUCUAGAGGAAAGACUAUCAGCCUUGUAAUCCAGUCCUGUUCAAUGACAGACGGUACCGCACGUACUAACGCGAAGCGGAGUCGCAGUCACUCACCUCGUGACAACACGAAUUUGCUGGAGCUGGCGGUGAGACUGCAGCCCCUGACGGGCGUCCAUCGCCGACGCUGGGACGGCUUGGCAAGGGCGCCGAAGAGACACCGCCCGAGAGAUGCUGCUGCUGCCUUGAGAACCACCAUGGUGUUUACACGACAGCAGACACCUACACAGCCAGCUU